GUUGGCACGUAACAAGAAAAUGGCAUAAGUCAUUGAUUUAAUUGUUGUGUGCAGGUGACUUGUAAUCAGUAGGUCCCGGGUUCGAUUCCUGGUGCCGGCACCA
rnacentral:tRNA from 1 species